rfam:Clostridium perfringens B str. ATCC 3626 gcontig_1106202603926, whole genome shotgun sequence.
UAGAACUGUUAUUGCGAAAGGUAGAAUGAUAGGGUAACGCCUUGAAAUGCCUUCCUUGAUACUCCGAAUAGCGUUUUGUUGAGUAAACAACAAAGGGUUAUAAGCUCGGUGAAGUCGGUUGAGAGUACACCGUAAGGUAUGUAGAAAUACAUACCACGAAAUGCGAACCAGAGGUGGUCGAGUGUAUGAUAGGCCGGAGGUCUAUAAA